UACGGAGACUGCGAGCGUUACUCGGAUUCACUGGGCGUAAAGGGUGCGCAGGCGGCCAGAUGUGUCAGAUGUGAAAUCUCGGGGCUCAACCCCGAAACUGCAUUUGAAACUAUCUGGCUAGAGUUUUGGAGAGGUAAGUAGAAUUCCUAGUGUAGCGGUGGAAUGCGUAGAUAUUAGGAGGAAUACCAAUAGCGAAGGCAGCUCACUGGAUGAAUACUGACGCUGAAGCGCGAAAGCGUGGGGAGCAAACGGG
rnacentral:rRNA from 1 species